rnacentral:rRNA from 1 species
UAGGGAAUCUUCCACAAUGGACGGAAGUCUGAUGGAGCAACGCCGCGUGAACGAUGAAGGCCUUCGGGUCGUAAAGUUCUGCUGUAAGGGAAGAACAAGUGCCGCAGGCAAUGGCGGCACCUUGACGGUACCUUGCGAGAAAGCCACGGCUAACUACGUGCCAGCAGCCGCGGUAAUACGUAGGUGGCAAGCGUUGUCCGGAAUUAUUGGGCGUAAAGCGCGCGCAGGCGGCCUCUUAAGUCUGAUGUGAAAGCCCCCGGCUCAACCGGGGAGGGCCAUUGGAAACUGGGAGGCUUGAGUAUAGGAGAGAAGAGUGGAAUUCCACGUGUAGCGGUGAAAUGCGUAGAGAUGUGGAGGAACACCAGUGGCGAAGGCGACUCUUUGGCCUAUAACUGACGCUGAGGCGCGAAAGCGUGGGGAGCAAACAGGAUUAGAUACCCUGGUAGUCCACGCCGUAAACGAUGAGUGCUAGGUGUUGGAGGGUUUCCGCCCUUCAGUGCUGAAGCUAACGCAUUAAGCACUCCGCCUGGGGAGUACGGUCGCAAGGCUG